AGUGAACGCUGGCGGUAGGCCUAACACAUGCAAGUCGAACGGCAGCACAGUAAGAGCUUGCUCUUACGGGUGGCGAGUGGCGGACGGGUGAGGAAUACAUCGGAAUCUACUUUUUCGUGGGGGAUAACGUAGGGAAACUUACGCUAAUACCGCAUACGACCUACGGGUGAAAGCAGGGGAUCUUCGGACCUUGCGCGAUUGAAUGAGCCGAUAUCGGAUUAGCUAGUUGGCGGGGUAAAGGCCCGCCAAGGCGACGAUCCGUAGCUGGUCUGAGAGGAUGAUCAGCCACACUGGAACUGAGACACGGUCCAGACUCCUACGGGAGGCAGCAGUGGGGAAUAUUGGACAAUGGGCGCAAGCCUGAUCCAGCCAUACCGCGUGGGUGAAGAAGGCCUUCGGGUUGUAAAGCCCUUUUGUUGGGAAAGAAAAGCAGCAGGUUAAUACCCCGCUGUUCUGACGGUACCCAAAGAAUAAGCACCGGCUAACUUCGUG
rnacentral:rRNA from 1 species